CCUACGGGGUGCUGCAGUGGGGGAUAUUGGACAAUGGGUGGAACCCUGAUCCAGCGACGCCGCGUGAGUGAAGAAGUAUCUCGGUAUGUAAAGCUCUAUCAGCAGGGAAGAAGAAAUGACGGUACCUGAGUAAGAAGCCCCGGCUAACUACGUGCCAGCAGCCGCGGUAAUACGUAGGGGGCAAGCGUUAUCCGGAAUUACUGGGUGUAAAGGGAGCGUAGACGGUGAUGUAAGUCUGGAGUGAAAGGCGGGGGCCCAACCCCCGGACUGCUCUGGAAACUAUGUGACUGGAGUGCAGGAGAGGUGAGCGGAAUUCCUAGUGUAGCGGUGAAAUGCGUAGAUAUUAGGAGGAACACCAGUGGCGAAGGCGGCCUGCUGGACUGCAACUGACGUUGAGGCCCGAAAGCGUGGGGAGCAAACAGGAUUAGAUACCCCUGUAGUC
rnacentral:rRNA from 1 species